rnacentral:rRNA from 1 species
UACGGAGGGGACUAGCGUUGUUCGGAAUUACUGGGCGUAAAGCGCACGUAGGCGGGUUUGCAAGUCGAUUGUGAAAGCCCCGGGCUCAAUCCGGGAAUGGCAGUCGAAACUGCAAGUCUUGAAUACCUGAGAGGGUGACGGAAUUCCUGGUGUAGAAGUGAAAUUCGUAGAUAUCAGGAGGAACACCGGAGGCGAAGGCGGUUGCCUGGCAGUGUAUUGACGCUGAGGUGCGAAAGCGUGGGGAGCAAACAGG